rnacentral:lncRNA from 1 species
CUCUCAGUAUCCUUCCCUACAAAUUCUGUCUUUAAGUUCUUAAGUCUAUAUAGACUAAGCAGAGGGGAUUUUGCUACUUUGGGAAAAAAGUGAAUUCUUUGACCUUGAAACAUUACUUGGAUUUUUUCUUUUUUUCUUGUUUGUCUGCAGUGAGAAUAGUAUCACUUUGUGAAGACACUACAAAAAAAAUAAUUUCAGGAGUCCUCUUGUCAUCUACAAGAAGAAGGAUUCACAGAUGUUUUAGCUGCAGGUCUAUAGGAAAGGUUUGUACAGUGCUGUUGUGAAAUCAAGGAUUUCCUGGACAAGGCAGUCUUUCUAUGAGGUUCAGUUUGUUUUCUGGACUACCUUUGAAAAACCACUGAUACAACCUUAUGAAGUCCCUCACUGCACAAACAAAAAUAUCUGUGGAAGACCACCAAAACCAACUGAUUGAGAAGUGAUGACUUGAUCCAUGGACAUUUGAUGAUUUAACAUUAUGACUGGAGGAACAAUAGGCAAUGAAAAUGCUGUAAUUCCAUAAAGAUGAAACACCAAGACAUGUCAGGCCCUUCCUUUGUGGCAUUCAGUGUCAAGCCCAGAUGCAUUUGUUCUCAGAUCUCCUUCUUUAAAAAACAAUAGG